UCUAAAAGCAUUUUGUGAAUUGUAUUGUCUUUCAGCCUGAGCGUUUCCUGCCUGGUUUCCUGUGCUGCCGUCACGGAGCUUUACUCAGGAGAACAAAGCUGGUGCUUCUGGAGAGGAUUUCAAUGGACAGCCCGGAGAGCAGCUCGCACGAGACAUCGCUUACCCUCGUAAUGCUGUGAUGGCUCUUUGAAUUUCCCAGAAGAACCCCUUUGACCCUUCCAGAUGCACAGCUUCCGCCCUUCCUCAGGUGGUCGUUCCACAAGAGACACAAGAGCCGAAGUUGGCUGCUUGGCUGUGAUGAGCGAAAGCACAGGAUGCCAGUAAAUCCAAUGGCUACAGGAAAAUUCAGUUAGCGAGUCAUCAGUAAAAUCUCCAUUCUUCUUACGUUACACACCUGUUGUAAAAGAGAUUUAUGUAUAACAAAAAUUAUUUCUAGUGCUUUCCUUUUCAUCUGAAUUUACUUGUUUCAUGAUAAAACAUUUCUCAGAAAUGUAUGGAAUUAAAUAACAAAGGAAAAAAAAUAUAUGUACUAUUUUGCAUAUGGACAGUGAUGACAGUUAAUUACCAAGCGAUUCCUUCAAAGUUGCAUCACUGAGUGCAUUUUCUGUGUAAAUUGAUUACAAGUCACAAGCAUUAUCAGCCACUAUUCAGAAUUUCUUUGCUUAUAAAAUUCAUACAUUAACUCUAAUAUCUACACGUCUCUGAUAUAAUGAAACCAAAUUAACCUUUUCAAUAGGUAAAUGGUUUACUGUACAUUAAUCAUGUAAACCUUAUCUGUAAGGCUUCCUCUUUGUUGGAGUUCCUAUACUUUCAUUUAUCAUUAUCAAACCUAUAUGAUUUUAAUGUAAGAAGGAAAACAUUUUUAAACAGGUAUGACUUCUUUGAUUUAAAUUUGACAAGCUAAAAAUCAUUCAUGUUUUCUCGUGUUCAUCCAUAUCUAAGCAAGAAGGAAAAGAAAAGUUGUCUCGGAUCUUUUACAUAUAUUUUGGCACCCAAGUACAUGGUAUUUUAUGGAUAGAAAAAAUAUUCAUGGAUAAUAAGUCAUGACGAUACAACUGAAACCUUUAAAACAUGUUUAAUGUUUCUAAAGAUCCAAAAACUGUGCAACCAAAAAUAUUUCAAUAAUGCCUGUGCUACACCUAGCACUAUCUACAUUUCUGAAUAUUUUACACAAAAGAUACAAUUUCAACAGCUAUGAAAUCAUAAUAGUAUCUGUUAACCUUACUAUAUAAAGCCUUGUGACACUGCCACUGAAAAAGUUUAAUCAAAUGCAAGUGCUAUGGAACACAAUGACAAAAUGUUACCAAUGAAUAAAUAUACUUUCUUUGAAACACUUUCUUUAUCAUUGUCAACAUUAGAAUCAUCCAAGAUUUAUCAUAAAGAUUUACACAAUGCCAUACCCUAUCAUUAUUACCUUCCUUCUUGUAAUAUAAAGA